AGAAGUUUGAUUCUGUUAAGCCGGGAACCGAAUGUUGAAGAGAGGAUUUCUGUGCUCGCCAGUGGGAUGCUGUGGGGGACAAAUGUCCCAGGCAGCGUCGCUGGGGACGCCCUGCUCUGAAGUCCCGUUGGAAUGACCGUCUCCCCUCCCCCCCUUUGCACACACCACGCACCGCGUGUAACGUUACCAGGGAAAGUUUCAUCUGUGACCAGCCUCGUCUAGGUCACCGGCAGGGAUCACAUCUUGUCACAUGCAGCUGCCCCAGCUCCUGAAACAGAGCUGUGGACAGAUGAGGUACUUCAUCAACACCGAUGGCCUGGGUGAUACACUUUAGACCAUGUCGUUUGCACCGGUGUUUAUGACCCGGGGAUCAGCUGUUUGGGAGUCUGACUGAUUUGAACUCAAAUAGGACCAAAAAAAAAAGGAAGGAAGGUUUGUUCCUGAACCAUUCCUACAUCCCAUAGCUGCCCACUUCCUUCCCCACCACUUCCCGUGGCCCCACCAUGCCGCAGGGCAACAGGAUUGAUCACACAGCGUCUCUGCAAAUUGCUUUCAUAGGAUUCCCUUCCCAACAAGAGCUACACAGAAACAAUCUGAUCCUAAAUAUCCUGAAACCUCCUGGUAACACUCGCCAUUGUUCGGCAAAAUCUAGAAGAUGGGCUCCGGCCAGAAGGGGUUGUUAAUGAAAUACUAAAAGGACCUCAGAUGCUGUGAGCUGAUCCCCAUAAAAUGGUGCCCAUGGCCCAAAUCCCAAUGGAAUGUGAAGGCCAUCUGGAAGAAAAAGGAAAGGGGGGGAGGCGUUCUUAAAUAAACCCAGAGUUUCCUCCUGCAGCUCCAUUGCCCCAAAGGACACCUGAAAUUCAACUCCCCAAUCCUUCCCUCCCUUGUUUUGCCUCAGAAGGCAGCACAGUGAAGUGAAAAGAACAUACACAGGGGCUCUGGACUUCAGAGUGACCUGGCUUUGAGCAAGUCAUUUCGCUUCCAAGCCCAUGGGGGUGUACACAGGACAUUGCACUUCACUCCCCAGCAUCUGCUUUCCCCCUAUGGAGCUGCAGCAACAUUUGGGGGCAGUUGACCCUAGUCAGGGUUGGGCCAGCUGGUCCAAGGACACCAUUCCCCCGGUUGGUGAUGGGUUCUGGAUGAGCGUACAACCUGAUCUGGCCAUGAAGCUGGAAGGAAAUGUCUGCUGAAGGCAUGAGCCUCUCUCUCCCACAUCCAUUGUGAAAAAAGAAGCUGCUCCUGACCACAGCAGAGCCAGCCUCAGGAUGGAGCCCGUCCCCAGGAUGGACAGAGUGAAGACAACGAAUCUAUGUCUUUGGCGACACUGUCUGUCGGCUUGUCUAAUUCUUCCAGAAUUCCCAAUCAAUACUCAAUCCAUUCCUGCCAUGUCUAAAGCAGCUGAGUUGGACCUUCUGCCCACACCCUGUAGCUGACCCCAAACAGCAGUCAUGGAGGAAAAGGCCCACAAGCAUUUGGCCACAUAUUAGGUACUCAGCAAAAUUUUGCUUCCCCUUUCCCUCACACUUACAUAAAAGCAGUCUUGAAAUGUGGUCAAAGAAAACCCCAUUUCUUCCCCUUUCAAGAAUUAACUGAAGUGCUCUCCUGUGGGCCUAACAUGGUGCCAGACUCAUAGUAGGUCUUCAGUAAACAUUUGAAUGACUCGUAACCUAUGACACACCUCUGGAGUAUGAUGUUGGUAAUGCCUGGAUUUCAGUUUAUGGCUUGCUGGAUGGGGGUGGAAAAGAUAACAGACAAAUUUGUUGCAGAGGUCUGAGUCCUGUUUCUAGACUCUGGGAGGAGGACCUGGAACACAAGUCUCCCCCCUCCUCCCCCCCAGCCCCCUUCCCCCACUUCCUCCACCCCCAGUCUCCAUCCCUGCUCUCUCAGAUAGACAUCUGCCAUUGGUGAGCUCUGGAGUCUGGCCAAUCACCUACAAAGCAAACCAUCUGAGGAAUGUCUGGUAUGCAGGGUAUGCAGUAUGGUGUAGGUUUGUUUUUUCUGUUCAUCACUUGGCAAGGAAAUCCUUCACUAUUUUGUCUGGAGGCAUUAGCCUGGAGCUGAGGACCGGCCAAGGGGGUGGAAGGUAGAAGGUAGGGGAAAGGAGGGGACAGUCUUCCCUCUUCUUUUGCUCCUAGGACUGCACAGCACCAGCCUUCACCUGCUUCCUCCCACCCCCACCCCGCCCCCCAGGUGCCCCAGUAGAAGACAGAGUGAAACAGAAGCAGGGGUAGCAGCAGGGGAAGACGUUUCCCUGGGGAGGAGAGUAACUGGCAGCUCCAGGGGGGCCCAGGGCAGGGAAGAGGCCAAGCCACUGCAGGACACAGAUCAGUGCACUUCACCUUCAGUGUCUAGCUCCUUAGCUUUGUGCGGGGGACCAAACCCGGGCUGGGAGUUCUGAGACCUGGGUUCAAGUUCUGGCUGGGCGAUCUUGGGCAUAUUUCUUGACUGAUUUGAACUCGAAUAGGACCAAAAAAAAAAAAA